rnacentral:misc_RNA from 1 species
AUAACUUAGUCUUCCCUACCAGGUUACCACUAAUGACGGUAGUACAGUAAGACAAUUGACUCCUGAAAUGGUGUUGUCCUUAUUUUUAUUGAAAUUUUUUAAAUGAGAAUGAGAUGCAAGAUAUUGAUUUCUUAUACAAGAGAUAUACAAUCACUCAAUUAAUAAUUAUAAAGAAAAGCUAAAUUAUCUAUUCUAUUUAGCAAACAUACGAUCCAUACAGAACUUGUAUUGUGAACUUACGCCUUCAAUCAAACUUGAGCUGUGAGCACUUAACUCAGCAAUGGUCCAAAGGAGAGGAGAUUUUGAAAUGGAAUGGUGCCAUAUAGUCCGCCUAACUACCUAAGCAAGCCACCUUCAUCAUCUCAUUAAAAAAUGUAAUGAUCACCCCACAGAAUUUUUGACUUAAUAGAGUUUGGUAAAGCAUGAAAAAU